AAACCCAGCUCGUGAGGGGGUAACGCCUUCUCUCGAAUCCGGUCCCUGCACCCCGCAGUGACCCUCUUCCCUCCGCCCACCAGUCGCAUCCUCCUAGGACAGGGAGAGGGCGGGGCUGGAGGGCGGUCGACCUCCGGAAUUUCCCCGCGUGGGUAGGAGAAGCGCGGUGGGAGUUCAGGGUAUCAUAAGAGACAGAGCCAGAGGAGACACUCAGGGCUCCUAGGUCUGGGUUGGUUUGGACAGAGGGGCAUCCACCAGAAACCGAAUUCUGGCUGUUAUCUGUACCUGUGAAGACUCAUUACAGCGCAGAGAAUCAGGGAGGAUGGAGCACCUGAUAGUUGUAUCUUCUGUAGAUUCUCCAUUCCCUAGAGCAGUGACCUUCAAACUUUAGCCUGUACUAGGACCACCUGGAAGGCUUUUGAAAACAGGUUGCUGUUCCUGCCCAUUUCUGAUUCGGUAAGUCUGAAAGGGAUCCAAAAACUGCUUUUCUAACAAGUUCUCAAGUGAUGCUGUUGACUGUGGGUCAAGGGACCACACUCUGAGAAUCAAUUCCCUAGAGAUGGAAGGCAAGCCAGAGAAAAUGACGCCUGAGUGAAGGCCUAUGUUGGGGAAUUCCUCUAAAUAAUGAGUUGUUCCUGGAGGGUAGCAAAUGGUCUCCAUAGCCUUAUUCAGAUGUGAUUUAACAGUAGGUCCAUCCAUUCUCACCUGCUCUGAGUGCUGUCCUCUAAUGGCCUAUAGCUGCCCCCUUUUCAGAAUAUUACCUUCAGCUGCCUUCUUCAGAGAACCCUUAGCCAAAGGGAUCUGGCUCACAUUGGCUAUGCCCUUGGGGCCCAAGGGUGAGCCCAUAGCAAACAACUGACAGACCUAAGUUAUAAAAGGUCAUUCCUCUUCCUUCAAGAUGGAAAGAAUUAUAGUGUAAUUUAUCCAAAAUUAAACUCCAUAGACAUUGCAUUCUUACAACUCUGUUUUCUCUGCCCUAUUUUGCUUCAGUGAUUCCCUCUUCUGAGGCCACCCGCCAGUAAAUUCUGCAUACCUGAAUCCUAGUCUCAGCUUUUGUUUACUGGGACCCGAAGCCACAUCGAGGAGUGUUCAUGAGACCACAGAGCAAGAUUUGAUGUGUUUUGGGAGGGACUUCAGCUACUCUUUAUCAGAUUUGGGGAACUAACACGGGCACUCUCAAAGUCCAAGAACCACCAGUGUCCACACUGUCCACAGGGAAGAUACUACAUCUAUGCAGUAACUGUCAUGGAGGAGACUGCAUUGGGGUCUUAAUUGCAGGGGUGGGCUGCUUGACAAACGGGGAAUAGAAUGAUUCGAAAGGGGUUGAGUCCUGGUUCUCUGCAACUUCAGAACAUCCUCCUGCUCAGGGACUCUCCUCAAAGGUUUUAUCAUUAGUGGAGCCUUAGUGAUUUUAGAUGCCUGCCAGGUGGUUUGUAGGGGUAGUAGAUUUAUAUGACAACACUGGUCUUGGAAUCAAUUAGCUCACAACUAUCUAAUUUACAUGGGAGAUCGUGGGAAUGUCAGGUUCAAAGAAAAAAUUUGCAGCAUUAGUAGAGCCAGUGAUGAUGGUGAUCACCACGAUAGUCCUAGUCAAGUUUUCAGUGCUAUAACAGCCUGGAGUUUCUGAGAUCCUCUUGGGCAGUCUGCCCCUCCCAGAAGGUUCUGCCUGUGGCUUUCCUUGGGGACUAAGAUCUGUCACGUGGAUUGGUGGGAAAGGGAGAAGGGGAAAGCUGUAUCUCUUGAUCUUUUCUUUAUAAAGACUAUCAGCAGCAGCAGCAUCUGCAAUGUUGUGAUCAGGAUGGCUGCUUCCACACCUGCCCCUCACCUAUACUCAUCUCCCAGGGAAGUUAAGGAAAUUAGUUUUUCAUUAUUCUGGUCUUGGUUUUCCCCAGAACAUCCUGUCUUUUUCUCUUCAGAGCCAGCCACUGGAGGGCAUCAGGAGUAUGACACCUGGAUUUUCCCGAGCAGCCGGUGGCAGGAUUGAGACCUCUCCUAGACACUCAGGCAUAAUGCACUCAUGUUGAAGCUGCAGUCCUCCACCUUCCUCACUUUAGGUCUUUACUGUGGAGCAGCAAUGUUGCUCCCCUGGAGGGUUCACUUUGAUACAGCACCCUUUCCUGAUUUGGCCUGAACCAGUGUCUUGAGAGAAUUUUAUACAUUGUUUCACCCCAUCCUCCUCACCAACUUCCUGCACCUGGAAUAUUCUGAUCUGAAAACAGAAGCAGAUUUGGAAGCCGUCUGAGGAGUGUUGAGUUCCCUAGAGGUUCUCAAGAAGUGCAGAGAUUUCAAAGAAACUAAAAAAUGAAACACACCUUUCUCAGCUACCAGAGCUGGCUCUGUAAUCCCCUCACUGUCCUAACUGCCCUAGUGCUUAGUAAGAGACUUAUAAAGUCUCAAAUCCUGUGGGUUAUGGCCAAGAAUGGCCAGGUUUUGUUUUGUUUUUUUUUUUUUUAAUCAAUUUUUUUCUUACUAGGUUUGAGUUCAAGAAGGCAAAACAUCCAAAUAUUUUGAAACUAUUUUCCAUUUUUCAUGUAUGUCUAUUACCUAUGAAUUGUUAAGAGUCUUAAGAAUCACUGUUGCUGUAUAAAGAUUAAGUCAGGGAUCACAUUUCUAUUUAGGUACACAACAGGGUUAUAAUGUUUGACAUUACUCACUGAUGUUUAAAUUUCAUGUUAUUUUUAAGUGCAAAAAAAAUAUUUUAAAGUGCCUGUACCUAUGUUCAUAGUAACUUGUGAAAAGGGAAAGAAAAACACCUAUUUUGUUCCUCAUACAAUCUUCUCUUUCCUGUUUUUGAUAUUCUGAAAUUCAUCUUAAUAUAAAAGACUGAACUUAAAUUCUAAAAGAGCAUGGGCUAGAUAGAGCUUCCAGCAUGUUCUUUACUCCUCUGAUUAGGAGAGGGUUUUGUUAUGAUUUCUUCUAUUUUUACCUGGUUUUAGAUUUUUUAACAGUGAGCAGAAAUUAAUUUUAUAAACAGAAAUGUUUAUAUAUGUUUUGAGAGAGAAAGAGAGGAGAUACCUGAAGAAGCAAGGAGUCCUCCCCUUCAGGGGUUCUCCAGGAGACCAGAAUGGGAGGGUACAGAGGAUGCUGACCCUAAGCCAUCUGUGUUCAUGUCACAGCAACUCUAUGAGCAGCCAGUCCCAACCAGUGUUUUUGGAUGGGCCAAUGAAAGGUCUAGAGCGCUUUUGAGGAAAACAAAAUACUGAAGAGCUGGGUGAG